GAUGAACGCUGGCGGCGUGCCUAAUACAUGCAAGUCGAGCGAACAGACGAGGAGCUUGCUCCUCUGACGUUAGCGGCGGGCGGGUGAGUAACACGUGGAUAACCUACCUAUAAGACUGGGAUAACUUCGGGAAACCGGAGCUAAUACCGGAUAAUAUAUUGAACCGCAUGGUUCAAUAGUGAAAGACGGUUUUGCUGUCACUUAUAGAUGGAUCCGGGCGGCAUUAGCUAGUUGGUAAGGUAAAGGCUUACCAAGGCAACGAUGCGUAGCCGACCUGAGAGGGGGAUCGGCCACACUGGAACGGAGACACGGUCCAGACUCCUACGGGAGGCAGCAGUAGGGAAUCUGCCGCAAUGGGCGAAAGCCUGACGGAGCAACGCCGCGUGAGUGAUGAAGGUCUUCGGAUCGUAAAACUCUGUUAUUAGGGAAGAACAAAUGUGUAAGUAACUAUGCACGUCUUGACGGUACCUAAUCAGAAAGCCACGGCUAACUACGUG
rnacentral:rRNA from 1 species